GAUGAACGCUGGCGGCGUGCCUAAUACAUGCAAGUCGAACGAACGGACGAGAAGCUUGCUUCUCUGAUGUUAGCGGCGGACGGGUGAGUAACACGUGGAUAACCUACCUAUAAGACUGGGAUAACUUCGGGAAACCGGAGCUAAUACCGGAUAAUAUUUUGAACCGCAUGGUUCAAAAGUGAAACACGGUCUUGCUGUCACUUAUAGAUGAAUCCGCGCUGGAUUAGCUAGUUGGUAAGGUAACGGCUUACCAAGGCAACGAUGCAUAGCCGACCUGAGAGGGUGAUCGGCCACACUGGAACUGAGACACGGUCCAGACUCCUACGGGAGGCAGCAGUAGGGAAUCUUCCACAAUGGGCGAAAGCCUGACGGAGCAACGCCGCGUGAGUGAUGAAGGUCUUCGGAUCGUAAAACUCUGUUAUUAGGGAAGAACAUAUGUGGAAGUAACUGUGCACAUCUUGACGGUACCUAAUCAGAAAGCCCCGGCUAACUACGUG
rnacentral:rRNA from 1 species